rnacentral:tRNA from 1 species
GAGGGUGUAGCUCAGUGGUAGAAUGUGUGCUUAGCAUGCAGGAGGUCCUGGGUUCAAUCCCCAGUGCCUUCA